AACGAACGCUGGCGGCAUGCCUAAUACAUGCAAGUCGAGCGAACAGAUGAAGUGCUUGCACUUCUGACGUUAGCGGCGAACGGGUGAGUAACACGUAAGGAAUCUACCUAUAAGCGGGGGAUAACAUUCGGAAACGGGUGCUAAUACCGCAUAAUAUCUUCUUCCGCAUGGAAGAAGAUUGAAAGACGGCUCUGCUGUCACUUAUAGAUGACCUUGCGGUGCAUUAGUUAGUUGGUGGGGUAACGGCCUACCAAGACGAUGAUGCAUAGCCGACCUGAGAGGGUGAUCGGCCACAUUGGGACGGAGACACGGCCCAAACUCCUACGGGAGGCAGCAGUAGGGAAUCUUCCGCAAUGGGCGAAAGCCUGACGGAGCAAUGCCGCGUGAGUGAAGAAGGCCUUCGGGUCGUAAAACUCUGUUAUAAGAGAAGAACAAAUUGUAGAGUAACUGCUACAGUCUUGACGGUAUCUUAUCAGAAAGCCACGGCUAACUACGUGCCAGCCGCCGCGGUAA
rnacentral:rRNA from 1 species